AUUGAACGCUGGCGGCAGGCCUAACACAUGCAAGUCGAACGAGGGGCGGACGGGUGAGUAAUGUCUGGGAAACUGCCUGAUGGAGGGGGAUAACUACGGGAAACGGUAGCUAAUACCGCAUACCAUCAGAUGGGCCCAGAUGGGCUUAGCUAGUUGGUGGGGUAACGGCUCACAAAGGCGACGAUCCCUAGCUGGUCUGAGAGGAUGACCAGCCACACUGGAACUGUGACACGGUCCAGACUCCUCCGGGAGGCAGCAGUGGGGAAUCUUGCACAUUGGGGGCAGGCCUGAUGCAGCCCGGCUGCGGGGAUGAAGAAGGCCUUCGUGUUGUAAAGUACUUUCAGCGGGGAGGCGUUACCCGCAGAAGAAGCACCGGCUAACUCCGUGCCAGCAGCCGCGGUAAUAC
rnacentral:rRNA from 1 species